CCCGCACAAGCGGUGGAGCAUGUUGGUUUAAUUCGAUGCAACGCGAAGAACCUUACUAGGCUUGACAUCCCUGGAAUUUUGUGGAAACACAAAAGUGCCUUUCGGGGAACCAGGAGACAGGUGCUGCAUGGCUGUCGUCAGCUCGUGUCGUGAGAUGUUGGGUUAAGUCCCGCAACGAGCGCAACCCUUAUCUUUAAUUGCCAGCAUUCAGUUGGGCACUUUAAAGAGACUGCCGGUGUUAAACCGGAGGAAAGGUGGGGAUGACGUCAAGUCCUCAUGGCCUUUAUGCUUAGGGCUACACACGUGCUACAAUGGGUGGUACAAAGAGAAGCCAACUCGCGAGAGCGCGCCAAUCUCAAAAAGCCAUCCUCAGUUCAGAUUGUAGGCUGCAACUCGCCUGCAUGAAGAUGGAGUUGCUAGUAACCGCAGGUCAGCAAUACUGCGGUGAAUACGUUCCCGGGUCUU
rnacentral:rRNA from 1 species